rnacentral:rRNA from 1 species
CCUCAGGUCAGGCGGGAGCACCCGCUGAGUUUAGCAU